CCUGCUGUUUAAACAUUAAGAUGGUUCCUCACUGCCUUAGAGUCGUCAACCUGCAGGCCAAGGCGAACUUUAAAGAAAAACCAGGUCAUGCCGCAUGUUUUUGGUGAGCACAGGAAUCAACAAAGCGCUGUUACAUAACUUCUAUUUAUGUCCUCCUUGCUCACUAUCUGCAGGCAGGCAAGAGUCGCAGAGCUGGGAUUUAAUGAGCUCUGGGUUUGCUCACCUUCCUGAGCUGGUAGGAACCAGCUUGUUCUCAAAAUGUAAAGAAUCAGGCUGUGGGUGGGCGGCCAGGGGUAGUAGGUGGGCCGCAUUGUUGCCAUGGUGUUUUUUUAAUUCCCCUGUUUCUCAA
ensembl:misc_RNA Gm27813 predicted gene, 27813